rnacentral:lncRNA from 1 species
CCCGAGUGUGGCCUGGUAAGAGAUGCUGAGCCAGAGGACCCGGCUGGCCUGCAGAAAUGACAUGAUACGUCUUUGCUGUUGGCUACUCCAAUGGCAGUUUGAUUCAACUGCACAAAUUAAAGUGAUGCCACCAAAGGUAUUAAUGGUUUUAGCAGAAUCAACAUGGAGAGCAUCGUGAGCUCCCUGUUUAAUAUGAAGAGUACUGAGUGCAG